rnacentral:rRNA from 1 species
UGGAACUGAGACACGGUCCAUACUCNUACGGGAGGCAGCAGUGAGGAAUAUUCCGCAAUGGGCGAAAGCCUGACGGAGCAAUACCGCGUGUGAGACGAAGGCUCUAGGGUCGUAAAUCACUGUCAGAAGGGAAGAAAAAAAUGACGGUACCUUCAAAGGAAGCACCGGCUAACUCUGUGCCAGCAGCCGCGGUAAGACAGAGGGUGCAAGCGUCAUCCGGAUUUAUUGGGCGUAAAACGUCUGUAGGUGGUCUAUUAAGUCUGGGGUUAAAUGGUGAGGCUCAACUUCGCCAUGCCUUGGAUACUGGUAGUCUAAAGUAUGUUAGGGGUUAGUGGAAUUUCCGGUGUAGUGGUGAAAUACGUAGAUAUCGGAAGGAACGCCAGCGGCGAAAGCGACUAACUGGGGCAUUACUGACACUCAGAGACGAAAGCGUGGGUAGCAAAAAGGAUUAGAUACCCUGGUAGUCCACGCCGUAAACGAUGAUGACUCGCUGUUGGCAAUAUAUCGCCAGUGGCCAAGCGAAAGCGUUAAGUCAUCCACCUGGGGAGUACGUCGGCAACGAUGAAACUCAAAGGAAUUGACGGGGGCCCGCACAAGCGGAGGAACAUGUGGUUUAAUUCGAUGAUACGCGAGGAACCUUACCCGGGCUUAAAUGCAUAUUGACAGCUUGAGAAAUCAAGCCUCCUUCGGGCAAUUUGCAAGGUGCUGCAUGGUUGUCGUCAGCUCGUGCCGUGAGGUGUCGGGUUAAGUCCCAUAACGAGCGCAACCCUUGUUGUUAGUUACCAGCGUGUUAGGGCGGGGACUCUAGCAAGACUGCCGGUGCAAACCGGAGGAAGGUGGGGAUGACGUCAAAUCAGCACGGCCCUUACGUCCGGGGCUACACACGUGUUACAAUGGUUGGUACAAAGGGAAGCUACACAGCGAUGUGAUGCAAAACUCAAAAACCAAUCUCAGUUCGGAUUGGAGUCUGCAAUUCGACUCCAUGAAGUUGGAUUCGCUAGUAAUCGCGCAUCAGCAACGGCGCGGUGAAUACUCCCGGGCCUUGUACACACGCCCGUCAACCAUGGAACUGAUGGUACCUGAAAUCUGUUACCCCAAGGAACGGCUAAGGUUAAAAUUAUAACUGGGGC